rnacentral:rRNA from 1 species
CAGCAGCCGCGGGAACACAGAGGGUGCGAGCGUUAAUCGGAUUUACUGGGCGUAAAGCGUGCGUAGGCGGCUUUUUAAGUCGGAUGUGAAAUCCCUGAGCUUAACUUAGGAAUUGCAUUCGAUACUGGGAAGCUAGAGUAUGGGAGAGGAUGGUAGAAUUCCAGGUGUAGCGGUGAAAUGCGUAGAGAUCUGGAGGAAUACCGAUGGCGAAGGCAGCCAUCUGGCCUAAUACUGACGCUGAGGUACGAAAGCAUGGGGAGCAAACAGGAUUUGAUACCCCUGUAGUCCCUGUCUCUUAUAC